UGUUACGAAGCUCCCGGGCUUGAUGGA
rnacentral:piRNA from 1 species